rnacentral:rRNA from 1 species
UACGAAGGGGGCUAGCGUUGCUCGGAAUGACUGGGCGUAAAGGGCGCGUAGGCGGCUUGUAUAGUCGGAUGUGAAAUUCCUGGGCUUAACCUGGGGGCUGCAUACGAGACGUAUGGGCUUGAGUGCGGAAGAGGGUCGUGGAAUUCCCGGUGUAGUGGUGAAAUGCGUAGAUAUCGGGAGGAACACCAGUGGCGAAGGCGGCUUUCUGGCCCGUUCUUGACGCUGAGGCGCGAAAGCUAGGGUAGCAAACGGG